rnacentral:rRNA from 1 species
GAUGAACGCUGGCGGCGUGCCUAAUACAUGCAAGUCGAGCGAACAGACGAGGAGCUUGCUCUUCUGACGUUAGCGGCGGACGGGUGAGUAACACGUGGAUAACCUACCUAUAAGACUGGGAUAACUUCGGGAAACCGGAGCUAAUACCGGAUAAUAUAUUGAACCGCAUGGUUCAAUAGUGAAAGACGGUUUUGCUGUCACUAAUAGAUGGAUCCGCGCCGCAUUAGCUAGUUGGUAAGGUAACGGCUUACCAAGGCAACGAUGCGUAGCCGACCUGAGAGGGUGAUCAGCCACACUGGAACUGAGACACGGUCCAGACUCCUACGGGAGGCAGCAGUAGGGAAUCUUCCGCAAUGGGCGAAAGCCUGACGCAGCAACGCCGCGUGAGUGAUGAAGGUCUUCGGAUCGUAAAACUCUGUUAUUAGGGAAGAACAAAUGUGUAAGUAACUAUGCACGUCUUGACGGUACCUAAUCAGAAAGCCACGGCUAACUACGUG